CAGUCGCCGCGGGAAAACGUAGGGGGCAAGCGUUGUCCGGAAUCAUUGGGCGUAAAGCGCGUGUAGGCGGCUCGAUAAGUCUGCUGUGAAAGUCCAGGGCUCAACCCUGGAAUGCCGGUGGAAACUGUCGAGCUCGAGUCCGGAAGAGGCAAGUGGAAUUCCUGGUGUAGCGGUGAAAUGCGCAGAUAUCAGGAGGAACACCAAUGGCGAAGGCAGCUUGCUGGGACGGUACUGACGCUGAGACGCGAAAGCGUGGGGAGCAAACAGGAUUAGAUACCCCUGUAGUCCCUGUCUCUUAUAC
rnacentral:rRNA from 1 species